CCUACGGGAGGCAGCAGUGGGGAAUAUUGGACAAUGGGGGGAACCCUGAUCCAGCGACGCCGCGUGAGUGAAGAAGUAUUUCGGUAUGUAAAGCUCUAUCAGCAGGGAAGAAAAUGACGGUACCUGACUAAGAAGCCCCGGCUAACUACGUGCCAGCAGCCGCGGUAAUACGUAGGGGGCAAGCGUUAUCCGGAUUUACUGGGUGUAAAGGGAGCGUAGACGGCAGCACAAGUCUGGAGUGAAAUGCCGGGGCUUAACCCCGGAACUGCUUUGGAAACUGUGCAGCUAGAGUGCAGGAGAGGUAAGUGGAAUUCCUAGUGUAGCGGUGAAAUGCGUAGAUAUUAGGAGGAACACCAGUGGCGAAGGCGGCUUACUGGACUGUAACUGACGUUGAGGCUCGAAAGCGUGGGGAGCAAACAGGAUUAGAUACCCCGGUAGUC
rnacentral:rRNA from 1 species